UAUUUGCGAGGUCUAAGUUCAAGUUCCGGUCUAAGUCCAAUCUCCCUCCAGGGCCAAGUACAUUUCCGAUUAUUGGAAAUUUAUUAUGGUUACAAAAAUCCUUUUCAGAACUCGAGUAUGUGGUAAAGAGCCUGCAUGAAAAGCAUGGUCCGAUCGUGACCCUCCCCUUCGGGUUUAACCCGGCCAUCUUUGUGGCUAGUAACUCCUUGGCUUACCAAGCUCUAGUCCAGAACGGAGCCGUUUUUGCCGACCGCCCUCCCCCACCCAUCACCAGCAAGAUCAUGGCCAGCAACCAGUGCACCAUCAGCUCCGCCCCCUACGGCCCCGCCUGGCGCCUCCUCCGCCGCAAUCUCACCUCCGAGAUCCUCCACCCCUCGCGCGUGAGGCUAUACUCCCGCGCCCGGAAGUGGGUCCUGGACAUUCUCGUGGCCGGCCUCCGCCAGGAGGCCGAAGGCCGGGACAACGUGGUUUUAGUGGUGAAGCACUUCCACUUCGCCAUGUUCUGCUUGCUGGUUCUCAUGUGCUUCGGCGACGACCUUGGGGAAGCCAAGAUCAGAGAGAUUCAAGGCAUGGAGAGUCGAGUCCUUCAGAGUUAUCACAACUUUAAAAUCCUCAAUUUCUUCCCGGUUAUCGGAAAAUUCUUGUUCCACAAGCGGUGGGAGAAGUUCAUGCAGCUGAGGAAGGAUCAUGAGGACGUGCUCAUCCCUCUGAUUAGAGCUCGGCAACCCUGCGAGAAGACGGAUACGGUGAGCAAACCAAAUCCAUCCAUAACGUGCUACGUCGACACUUUACUGGACCUGCAACUCCCAGACGAGAAGAGGAAGCUCACAGAAGGGGAGAUAGUGAGCUUGUGCUCGGAGUUUCUCAACGCCGGCACCCACACCACAGACGCUCCGCUGCAGUGGAUCAUGGCGAACCUGGUGAGGUACCCGCACAUUCAGGCCAAGCUUUUCGAGGAAAUUAGCGGGGUUGUGGGGGAAGGAGAGGACGAAGUGAAGGAGGAAGAUUUGCAGAAGAUGCCAUACUUGAAGGCGGUGGUGUUAGAGGGUCUCCGGC
rnacentral:lncRNA from 1 species